AACGAACGCUGGCGGCGUGGAUAAGACAUGCAAGUCGAACGCUUAUCUUUGUGUAGCAAUACAUGAAGGUAGGAGUGGCGCAAGGGUGCGUAACACGUGGGUAAUUUGCCGCGAAGUCCGGGAUAACUUGCUGAAAGGCGAGCUAAUACCGGAUGUGGAAAUUGGAAGGCAUCUUUUGAUUUCUGAAGCUGGGGACCUGUAAGGGCCUGGCGCUUUGCGAUAAGCCCGCGGCCUAUCAGCUAGUUGGUGAGGUAACGGCUCACCAAGGCUAAGACGGGUAGCGUGGUCUGAGAGGACGACCAGCCACACUGGAACUGAGAC
rnacentral:rRNA from 1 species